CGUACACUCCUACGGGAGGCAGCAGUGGGGAAUAUUGGACAAUGGGCGCAAGCCUGAUCCAGCCAUGCCGCGUGAGUGAUGAAGGCCCUAGGGUUGUAAAGCUCUUUUGUGCGGGAAGAUAAUGACGGUACCGCAAGAAUAAGCCCCGGCUAACUUCGUGCCAGCAGCCGCGGUAAUACGAAGGGGGCUAGCGUUGCUCGGAAUCACUGGGCGUAAAGGGUGCGUAGGCGGGUCUUUAAGUCAGGGGUGAAAUCCUGGAGCUCAACUCCAGAACUGCCUUUGAUACUGAAGAUCUUGAGUUCGGGAGAGGUGAGUGGAACUGCGAGUGUAGAGGUGAAAUUCGUAGAUAUUCGCAAGAACACCAGUGGCGAAGGCGGCUCACUGGCCCGAUACUGACGCUGAGGCACGAAAGCGUGGGGAGCAAACAGGAUUAGAAACCCUGGUAGUCCCAU
rnacentral:rRNA from 1 species